CUGAUUCCUGUAGAAUGUUAUAAAGUUGCCUCUGGAGUCUUUAGACACGUGACAAAAUGCAUUGUGUAAGCUUUGAUCUCUUUCUUUUUGGGACACUGUUAGGAUUCCAGAAAGGAUCCUUAUCUGCUUCUCCCAACAAAAGAUGACCGAGGAUGAUCCUGCUGAAACUAAGCUUGGUAUGUUAUUAAGUUCCUCUCCAAGACAAACUGAAGAUCCCUCCGGUCCAGAAACCACUUCUGCAACUUCUAGCCUUUGGUCAUCAUGAGCUAAGAGACGCGUCGUCGUCUCAGAAGGAACAUUCAUUGAGCAACAGGCAUUAUCUUCUGCCAUUGGAGAUAGAGACGUUGAGCGUUCUGUAGUAGUAGUUGGUGAUACGAGCAGCAUACCUCCAAGACCAAUCUCAUUAGGAGGAAUGUAUUUGUUCCUUGCAUAAAUGAGAGUAGCAUCUUCACCACUGUCUGGAUUCCAGAUAGGAUCUUUGUCUGCUUCUCCCAACAAAAGGUAAAUGUUAGUGCACAUAA